UUUUUUUCUUCUUCUUACCAAAUGUGGAUCUGGAUUCCUACAAUACCAAUUUAGCUAAGUCUCCAGACGAAUCUGCUCCCUUUGACAGUGGGCAAUAUAAAUUCUCAUUCCAGCGGCUUCCACCAGUGUGCUCAGGUCUUUGAGCCCUAGGCAGGGGGGAAGGGGGGAGCCAGGCUGCCCAGUCUCAGAUUCUGCUUCCUCUGACCUCCCUGGCAAGGUCCCUCUGUGUCCCUUAGAGCAGCUCUCUCACUCCCCUGGGCAGAAUCGAGGGAGAGAAGAACCGAAUGUCAGCUCCAACAUUUACUGAAUGUGCAUUUUCUGAAACAUUUUGACAAGCUCUGAGCAGGCCUAGCCCCAACCUACAUCUAUCUGCCCCCCACUGAGGCCAUCUACCCCGAAUGUCUGCAAGUGACCAAAGCCCCCACCUCCAGCUGCCAUAAAUCCAUUUCAACCCCUGAUAUUAAAGAGGAUCUUGUGUGUUAACUGAAAGUUUUAAGAGAUGCUCUUUUCCCCUUUUGAGUGACUUGUAGAAUGUUAGAAAAGACUCUAAUCCUCAGUGAAUAACAUAGGAGGUUCUACAGUGUUAUUACUGGGACCUGAAUGUUGACAUAGAGCAUACUGUCUGAUUGGAAAAUUUGGGAACUACGAUGUAUAUAUUUUUAACUUUAGGCCUUUGCUUGUCUUUAAGAAUAAGCACUGUGCUUUACUCUCCUGCAUGAGAAGGCCGAGAGAGGAGAAGGGGGCAGAGUCUGCUGAGAAGGCUGGCAUCUCAUUCACUGGGCAGUGAACACCUGCUAUGCUUCAGGAGCUCUUCCAGGAGCCCGGGGGACACAUCAACAAAGGGAAGGUGGCUCUCUGCCCUCGGGCUGGGAAGCAGACAAAGAUGGACAUGUCAUACAGAAAUGGAGUAAAUGGUACGUUCAAAGGGGAGAGAGCGAUGGACAAAAUGGGAAGUGCCCAGUCGGGACACCAAGGAGAGAUGUGAAAUGAACAUAAGUCAAUGGCUAUGGCCAAGACAAUCAAGGAUAAGCCAAGGGAUGUGCCUCUGAAUCAAAACUGAAGUUUGAGACCAGUUGCAAAAUAAAUGAGUCCCAGGGAUGAAAUACACAGUGUGGGGAAUAGAGUCAGUAACUAUGUAAUAUCUUUGUAUGGUGACACACAGACUUACUACCAGACUUACCAUGGUGAUCAUUUUGAAAUGCAUAGAGGAAUCCCUACUGUGGCGCAGCAGGUUAAGUAUCUGACUGCAGCUACUCCAGUCGCCACAGAGGUGCAGGUUCGAUCCCUGGCCCUGCGCAGUAGGUUAAAGAUCCAGCAUUGCCGCAGCUGUGGCAUGGGUGACAGCUGCAGCUCAGAUUCAAUCCCUGGCCCAGGAACUUGCAUGUGCUGCAGACGUGGCAAAAGGAGAGAAAGGAAGGAAGGAAGGAAGAAGGGUAUAGAAAUACUGAAUCACUAUGUCUUGUAGUAGGAGGUCAAUCACAAUCAACAAACCAACUCCUAGAAAAGGAGAUAAGAUUUGUGGUUACCAGAGGUGGGAGUGUGGGGAGAGGGAAUUGGAGGAAGGCAGUCAAAAGGUACCCACUUCCAGUUAUAAGAUAAAUAAGUACCAGGGAUGUUAUUUACAACAUGAUAAAUAUAAUCAACACUGCGUAUGUUAGACGUGAAAGUUAAGAGAAUAAAUCCUAAGAAUGCUCAUCCAAAGAAAAAUGGUCUUUUUCUACUUCUUUAAUUUUAUCCUAUAUGAGAUGAUGGAUGUUCACUAAACUUAUUGUAACAAUCAUUUCGUAAUGAUCAAAUCACUAAACUGUACCCUUAAACUUAUAGGCUGGUGUAUGUCAAUUAUAUCUCAAUAAAACCUUUUUUGAAAAUAGAAUAUACAGACGUUGAUAGUUUUUUUGUUUGUUUGUUUGUUUUUUGUCUCUUUGCCAUUUCUUUAGCCUCUCCCGUGGCACAUGGAGGUUCCCAGG
rnacentral:lncRNA from 1 species